UUUAUUUAUUGUAACAUCAAACAGAGUUAUUACAGCACUUUUGAUUUGUGAUUUCUGUGCAUUUGCUGCAGAUCUUUUGUGGUGGAGCAGGUGACGGCAGUGUUUGUGGGAAGAAAGAAAGACCUGAAACAAAAAUAUAAAGUAAGAUCAUUUUGUUACUUUAAUACAGAAAUAAAAAAAAUAAAUCAAAUGAUUGUAAAAACAAAAAAAAGUUAAAAUGAAUGCUUUUGUAUUAUAUUUGUGCUUCUUGUAUGAUCUGAAAUGUCUGCAGACUGGUGUGAGCAGUGAGAAAGGAGAAAUCCACAGCAGUGUCCUGGAAAUGUGGUUUAGCCCACUACAAAAGUAAUAGAGGUACAACAAAAAUUAGCAUGUGGUCGAGCAGACACAGUGAUGGCCAGAUUGUCCCGCACAUGUUCUCCUGCUCUUGUCUCAAGGUUGUGGGGUUCAGUGGUGUGUCUUCAUGGUCUUUCUCAUCGUCUGGCUCAACAACAUCCCUAUUGAGAAGAGUGAGAUUGUGAAGCGCAGCAGCAGAAUUGGCACAGCUGCAUUGAGAUGGCAAUAGGAUGUGGGGUUCACCAACUGUAAAUACAUGAUUGUUAGAUCAAUAAGUUUGAAUAAAGCUGUUUCAUCUGUUGUUGACUUGUAUAUUUAUGUAUUUAUUAUGAUGCUUUUAUUCCUUCUUUUACUCAUUUAUUCAUGUUUUCUAUUGUUGUCAAUAAAUAAAAUAUACAUA